UACGUAGGGUGCAAGCGUUGUCCGGAAUUAUUGGGCGUAAAGAGUUCGUAGGCGGUUUGUCGCGUCUGCUGUGAAAUCUGGGGGCUCAACCCCCAGCCUGCAGUGGGUACGGGCAGACUAGAGUGUGGUAGGGGAGACUGGAAUUCCUGGUGUAGCGGUGAAAUGCGUAGAUAUCGAGAGGAACACCAGUGGCGAAGGCGACUCACUGGGCUCCACCUGACGCUGAGGCGCGAAAGCGUGGGGAGCGAACCGG
rnacentral:rRNA from 1 species